rnacentral:rRNA from 1 species
UACGUAGGGGGCUAGCGUUGUCCGGAAUCAUUGGGCGUAAAGAGCGUGUAGGCGGCCCGGUAAGUCCGCUGUGAAAGUCGGGGGCUCAACCCUCGAAUGCCAGUGGAUACUGUCGGGCUAGAGUGCGGAAGAGGCGAGUGGAAUUCCUGGUGUAGCGGUGAAAUGCGCAGAUAUCAGGAGGAACACCAAUUGCGAAGGCAGCUCGCUGGGACGUAACUGACGCUGAGAAGCGAAAGCAUGGGGAGCGAACAGG